GCGUGUGUGAAGAAGGCUUUCGGGUUGUAAAGCACUUUCAGCGAGGAAGAAGGCCUCUGGGUUAAUACCCCAGAGGAAGGACAUCACUCGCAGAAGAAGCACCGGCUAACUCCGUGCCAGCAGCCGCGGUAAUACGGAGGGUGCGAGCGUUAAUCGGAAUUACUGGGCGUAAAGCGCGCGUAGGUGGCUUGGCACGCCGGUUGUGAAAGCCCCGGGCUCAACCUGGGAACGGCAUCCGGAACGGCCAGGCUAGAGUGCAGGAGAGGAAGGUAGAAUUCCCGGUGUAGCGGUGAAAUGCGUAGAGAUCGGGAGGAAUACCAGUGGCGAAGGCGGCCUUCUGGCCUGACACUGACACUGAGGUGCGAAAGCGUGGGUAGCAAACAGGAUUAGAUACCCUGGUAGUCCACGCCGUAAACGAUGUCGACUAGCCGUUGGGACCUUUAAGGACUUAGUGGCGCAGUUAACGCGAUAAGUCGACCGCCUGGGGAGUACGGCCGCAAGGUUAAAACUCAAAUGAAUUGACGGGGGCCCGCACAAGCGGUGGAGCAUGUGGUUUAAUUCGAUGCAACGCGAAGAACCUUACCUACCCUUGACAUCCAGAGAACUUUCCAGAGAUGGAUUGGUGCCUUCGGGAACUCUGAGACAGGUGCUGCAUGGCUGUCGUCAGCUCGUGUUGUGAAAUGUUGGGUUAAGUCCCGUAACGAGCGCAACCCUUGUCCUUAUUUGCCAGCGAUUCGGUCGGGAACUCUAAGGAGACUGCCGGUGACAAACCGGAGGAAG
rnacentral:rRNA from 1 species